AGAAUCACCUAUACUUUUAUUCUGUGCUCCCCGAGCAACCUUCUGGUUGUUAGGUUUCCCUUGCAACCUGAAUGGAGGGAAGAAUGCAAAAGGUAGAUUGGAAAUAUUCUCAGUUAAAAGGAUUAUUUGCAGACAGAGGAAAACAUCCUUAUCUAUAGCUCCAAUCCUCAUCUCUUCAGUUUAGCCAAUGGAAAACAACAACGGACCUAAUUCAAAUGAGUAAUUCACCCUUUGGAUUUGGGUUGGAGAUAUCUGAAGUGAGUCAGAACUGAACAGAAGUCACUAUUUAGGACAUAUUUUCCCCAGAGUGUGAAACAGGAUUAGGAAAUCCUGAAUCAAUCCAAGUAACUGCAUGGAAAGCUUCAGCGUGGAUGUGGUGUAGGAGUAGCUUCCGGGAAUAGUCCUGCAGCCCACUGUGCUAACUGACCUGGCCUUGUGACAUGAAAGUGUGAGGCCAGGG
rnacentral:lncRNA from 1 species